UACAUGCAAGUCGAGCGAAUGGAUUAAGAGCUUGCUCUUAUGAAGUUAGCGGCGGACGGGUGAGUAACACGUGGGUAACCUGCCCAUAAGACUGGGAUAACUCCGGGAAACCGGGGCUAAUACCGGAUAACAUUUUGAACCGCAUGGUUCGAAAUUGAAAGGCGGCUUCGGCUGUCACUUAUGGAUGGACCCGCGUCGCAUUAGCUAGUUGGUGAGGUAACGGCUCACCAAGGCAACGAUGCGUAGCCGACCUGAGAGGGUGAUCGGCCACACUGGGACUGAGACACGGCCCAGAGUCUUAUGGGAGGCAGCACUAGGGAAUCUUCCGCACUGGAGGAGAGUGCGUCGGAGCAACGCCGCGUGAGUGAUGAGGGCUUCUGCGUCGUAAAACUCAGUUUAUAGGGAAGGACAAGUCAUAGUUGAAUUAGCUGGCACCUUGACGGUACCUAACCGGAUAGCCACGGCUAACUAUGUGCCCGCAGCCGCGGUAAUACGUAGGUGGCCAGCGUUAUCUGGAAUUUUUGGGGGUAAAGCGCGGGCAGGUGGUUUCUUAAGUUUGAUGUGAAAGUCCACGGCUCAACCGUGGAGGGUCAUUGGAAACUGGGAGACUUGAGUGCAGAAGAGGAAAGUGGAAUUCCAUGUGUAGCGGUGAAAUGGGUAGAGAUUUGGAGGAACACCAGUGGCGAAGGCGAUUCUCUGGUCUGUAACUGACACUGAGGCGGGAAAGCGUGGGGAGCAAACCGGAUUAGAUUCCCUGGUAGUUCCACGCCGUAAACGAUGAUCUGCUAAGUGUUGGAGGGUUUCCGCCUUUUAGUGGCUGAAGUUAACGCAUUAAUCACUCCGCCUGGGGAGUACGGCCGCAGGGUUGAAACUCAAUGGAAUUGACGGGGGCCCGCACAAGCGGUGGAGCAUGUGGUUUAAUUCGAAGCAACGCGAAGAACCUUACCAGGUCUUGACAUCCUGUGACAACCCUAGAGAUAGGGCUUCUCCUUCGGGAGCAGAGUGACAGGUGCUGCAUGGUUGUCGUCAGCUCGUGUCGUGAGAUGUUGGGUUAAGUCCCGCAACGAGCGCAACCCUUGAUCUUAGUUGCCAUCAUUAAGUUGGGCACUCUAAGGUGACUGCCGGUGACAAACCGGAGGAAGGUGGGGAUGACGUCAAAUCAUCAUGCCCCUUAUGACCUGGGCUACACACGUGCUACAAUGGACGGUACAAAGAGCUGCAAGACCGCGAGGUGGAGCUAAUCUCAUAAAACCGUUCUCAGUUCGGAUUGUAGGCUGCAACUCGCCUACAUGAAGCUGGAAUCGCUAGUAAUCGCGGAUCAGCAUGCCGCGGUGAAUACGUUCCCGGGCCUUGUACACACCGCCCGUCA
rnacentral:rRNA from 1 species